AAGGGGAGCGCUGGAUCCUGGGCUGUGUUCCCCGGCGUCCUGGGCUCCGGGGUUUGUGCUGCUGGAAUCGUGCUCCCAGGGCCGCGCAGCCCCCU
rnacentral:pre_miRNA from 1 species